rnacentral:tRNA from 2 species
GGUGGACCUGGAGCGCGCCGGCGAGGUCUCGCCGCUGCUCCAGAUCGCGGAGGGCAGCGACGACCGGCUGCUGCUCGCCGAUCCCGACAGCGGCCUGCUGC